rnacentral:rRNA from 1 species
UACGUAGGGUGCAAGCGUUAAUCGGAAUUACUGGGCGUAAAGCGUGCGCAGGCGGUUAGGUAAGACAGGUGUGAAAUCCCCGGGCUCAACCUGGGAACUGCAUCUGUGACUGCAUAGCUAGAGUACGGUAGAGGGGGAUGGAAUUCCGCGUGUAGCAGUGAAAUGCGUAGAUAUGCGGAGGAACACCGAUGGCGAAGGCAAUCCCCUGGACCUGUACUGACGCUCAUGCACGAAAGCGUGGGGAGCAAACAGG